rnacentral:tRNA from 1 species
GGGGCUGUGGCUCAGUGGUAGAGCACUUACCUACAUGUAUGAGGCACUGGGUUCAAACCUCAGCGCCA